GAGGAAAGGGGGGGGCGUGCUUAACACAUGCAAGUCGAACGGAAAGGCUCCUGCUUGCAGGGGUACUCGAGUGGCGAACGGGUGAGUAACACGUGGGUGAUCUGCCCUGCACUUCGGGAUAAGCCUGGGAAACUGGGUCUAAUACCGGAUAGGACGAUGGUUUGGAUGCCAUUGUGGAAAGUUUUUCGGUGUGGGAUGAGCUCGCGGCCUAUCAGCUUGUUGGUGGGGUAAUGGCCUACCAAGGCGUCGACGGGUAGCCGGCCUGAGAGGGUGUACGGCCACAUUGGGACUGAGAUACGGCCCAGACUCCUACGGGAGGCAGCAGUGGGGAAUAUUGCACAAUGGGCGCAAGCCUGAUGCAGCGACGCCGCGUGGGGGAUGACGGCCUUCGGGUUGUAAACUCCUUUCGCUAGGGACGAAGCGCAAGUGACGGUACCUGGAGAAGAAGCACCGGCUAACUACGUG
rnacentral:rRNA from 1 species